UAGGAACUUCGUUAGGUGAGGCUCCUGUAUGGAGAUACGCUGCUGCCCAAAAAUGUCCAAAGACGCCAAUGGGUCAACAGAAAUCAUCGACAUAAGGUGAUUUUUAAUGCAGCUGGAUGCUUGUCCUAUGCCAUACAGUGCUAAAGCUCUACGAUUGAAGGCGCCC
rnacentral:sRNA from 10 species